rnacentral:rRNA from 1 species
CUUGUACACACCGCCCGUCGCACCAUGGGAGCGGGUUCUGCCAGAAGUAGUUAGCCUAACCGCAAGGAGGGCGAUUACCACGGCAGGGUUCGUGACUGGGGUG